AUUUCGAGUCGAACGACUAGUCGCGACUAGUCGUCGACUAGUCGACGAGUCGUUACAUGAAGGUUGACUCAACCUGUCGACUCGAAUCAUUGGAUGAGUCGAGCGACUUGAUCGACUAGUCCCGACUAGUCUCGACUAGUCGCGGUUUUUGAGUCGAACGACUCGAUCAACCUGUGAUAGAAGAGGAGUUGGGCGUAGAAAACGGAGCAGAGAAGGAUGGGGGAGGCGGAGAGGAAGGGGCGAAGGCAGAGAAGCCAUGGAAGAGGAGCUGCAGCAAGGCCAUUGCGGCUGUCGAUUCGUUCCUGGAGGCUGGAAGGGGAGCAGGUGAGAGAGAGAGAGAAAGAAGAGAGUGGAUGGACGGUGAAGAUUAGAGAAUAUAGAUGGUUCAGAUUGAGCUAGGCAGGCUAGGGUUUCAUUGGGCCUUAUUGGGCUAAUAUUGCUUCUGGGCCAAUAUUGAAGGAAGAUUGGAGCGUCUGGAAACCUAGAUCGAACAGUUCCACUCCCCUCCCCCGACCCAGCUCUCUUCUGCAGCAGCCGCUGCCGCUGGCUGGCUGCUCGUCCCCUUCUCCCCUGGUUGCUGCUGCUCAUCCCUUGGUUGCUGCUACUGCAGGUCUGCCCCUCCCAUCUCUUGCUGCUGCGGCUCCCCCCUUAGUUGCCGCUGGUCUGCUCCCUACUACUUAACUCACGUCGACUCAUCGCAUGUCGACUCGUCGACCAUGAGUCAUGACUAGUCACGACUAGUCUAGAGUCGCCCCCCCCUGAGCGACUCGCCGACUCAUCGACUCAAAAACCUUGGGUCUCAGCAGCCGCCCUCACCUCCCUCUCUCUCCAACCAGCCCCGCUCUCCUCUCGCAUCACACAGGCGGCGGCUCAACAUAUGCUGCCGGGUGUGGCAUAUGUGGCAUCUGUGUUGUGCUUCGGCCGGCUGGUUGUGUGUGAUGUGUGCGGCUGGAUGUGCGUCCGUGUUUAUGUGUGUGGAGGAAGUCGAUGGUUGCAGGCAGAGGAAGCUGCUGGUUGCUGGCAGAGGAGGAUUAUGAUAGUUCCCUUGCUCUUUGCCAGAAAAAUUGAUAUUUCUCUUGAUUUGUUCUAGUCUGGAUUAGUACAAAAGUGCACUGAUAUUUGCUUUGUGGUGCAGGAGUUUCAAGACAGCAGGUUUAGCAGGGAUCAAUUGCAACCUUCGUUUAUCUUCUGUUAUGUGAACCAAUUUGUGAUGGCUUCUAAAAGCACAUGGCUGGUACAGAGCAAUUUUUACAUCAGAGCCGUCGUUUCUGUCGACUUCGCCGCCGUCGACUUCGCCGCCGUCGACUUCGCCGCAAGACAAUCUGCCAUCGCCUCCGCCGACUUUGCCGUAAGAUCAUCAGCCGUCGCCUGAACGUACUUUGGCGCAGGAACCUGAAGGAAAGCGGCAACAAAAGCAAGAUCCAAAGGCGCAGUCGUGCAAGGUCGAACCAUCCAUAAAGAUCCUCUUCCUACAGCUAUGACAACUGUGGCAAGACCUUUGUUAAUGUGGCUGACUUGAGGAAGCAUGCUCAUGUACAUGGCGAGAGAUGCAAUAUGUUUUUUCAGGAGCCUGGCUAUUUGAAGCUUGACGAUGCCGUGGUCGCCCCACCUAUCAAAUCCCCGCACACACGCAACAACUCAACUCUAUGGUUUGUACACCACCACCGCUUGAGCAGCCCGGCGAACGAUUUAGGUAAUGUAUCUGUAUAAUAUAAUCCUCCAUUACCAUGCACAAAGACUUCGAUUUAAUUUUAGAUCAGUUUAGUUCAGCGUGGUGAUGCUCAGCAUAAUAAGGUGUUGUGUUGUUAUAUUGAAAUAAAUGAUUCAGCAGAGGUGAAUGGUCUCUCUGACUGAUGUUGCCAGUUGCAUCACAUACUUGCUAGCUUCCCAAAUGCAGUAAGCAAUGAGUAAUUUCCAAAUGUAGCAGUGAAGACACUCAUUUUCAGAGCAGCUAUACUCACAUGUGCCCUGAACCAUUUAAUUGCUUUAAUUCCUGAACAAAUGUAGGUUGGUUCUCUUGCUUUUUACCAUGGUAACUUUGUAAACAUCAGAAGGCCUAAAUUUGGCAGCACACUCACUCGCUCAACAAUGAGCACUGGAGUCUAAAGCUUUGCUAUUGGCUGAAGAACAUCAAGGUCUUCAUUACAUGAUUAUUAGUUUCUUAAAUAUUUGUAUAACGUCAGAGUACUUUUUAGUUACAGAUUUGGCAAUACCCAGGACAUUAUUCUCCAGUCCAACUAUUGGCUUUCAAGGUGGCAGUGUGAGACAUUGUCGCUAUCACAGGAUCAUGUGGCAACGUAUUUGGUUUUUUGUUGAAAUAUGAUGGAGAUGGCUCGUGACUGCCACUCUCAUACCAAAUACUUUGAUGAUGAUACCUACUGGCGGGGAGGGGGGGGGGGGGGUCAAAAUGCAGUAGUUGCAAACAUGAGUGAAGAUGACUGUACGUGGCAUAUGUAUGAUAUUGUCAAAGAAAGUGAUUGGCAUGGCAAGUUUACGUGAGAAACAGUUAAAGAAAUUGCAUGGAAGAUGUUUCAAGAGUAAAGUCAAUGUGUGAGAGAAGAUUGAUGAGCACCAAUAUUAUAUAGUGUAUCAUACUUUUAUAUAUUUGUCAUAAAGAAAAUACUUUGUUCUUUUCUGAUCU